rnacentral:rRNA from 1 species
CAUUAAAUCGUACCCCAAACCGACACAGGUGGUCAGGUAGAGAAUACUCAGGCGCUUGAGAGAACUCGGGUGAAGGAACUAGGCAAAAUGGUGCCGUAACUUCGGGAGAAGGCACGCUGGCGUUAGGUGAAAGGACUAGCUCCUGGAGCUGAAGCCAGUCGCAGAUACCAGCUGGCUGCAACUGUUUAAUAAAAACACAGCACUGUGCAAACACGAAAGUGGACGUAUACGGUGUGACGCCUGCCCGGUGCUGGAAGGUUAAUUGAUGGGGUCAGCCGCAAGGCGAAGCUCUUGAUCGAAGCCCCAGUAAACGGCGGCC